rnacentral:rRNA from 1 species
AUUGAACGCUGGCGGCAUGCCUUACACAUGCAAGUCGAACGGCAGCGCGGGGCAACCUGGCGGCGAGUGGCGAACGGGUGAGUAAUAUAUCGGAACAUACCCUAGAGUGGGGGAUAACGUAGCGAAAGUUACGCUAAUACCGCAUACGCACUAAGGUGGAAAGUGGGGGAUCUUCGGACCUCAUGCUCAUGGAGUGGCCGAUAUCUGAUUAGCUAGUUGGUGAGGUAAAGGCUCACCAAGGCGACGAUCAGUAGCUGGUUUGAGAGAACGACCAGCCACACUGGAACUGAGACACGGUCCAGACUCCUACGGGAGGCAGCAGUGGGGAAUUUUGGACAAUGGGGGGCAACCCUGAUCCAGCAAUGCCGCGUGAGUGAAGAAGGCC